GUGAGGAACCAACAGACCUGGAACUCCCUCUGUGAUGCAAUUAAACAAUCUGCAAGUUCAUCUGGAUAGCUGCAUGAAGUGAAGCUCUCUCCCAUAAAUCCUGACAAGUAGUAAUAGCAGAGCCAAGGGGCCAAAAUCCUCCACUGACUGGUCUUGCUUUUCUUCUACUUAUAUCUCUUGAUUCUUCACAGCUUUAGAAAACAUAUGUAUCAUGUCUUAACACCAACUUUCUGUGGAUCACCUUCAGCUUCAAAAGGUUGCAGAGAUGUAUGGCAGAAAUUAUAUAUCCCAGUCAUUAUCAUACUGUGAUGGAACAGAUUUCAGUUUGAGAAAAAGGGGUGAUGUGUGCAUCCCUCAGCUACUGUGAACUUUCAUUUAACAUGCAACAGUGAAGGACUGCAAUCACUUCAACCUCUUGCAAGACUACCCAGAAAGCAGAUCCAUUGUGUGUGCUGUUGCAACAAUUGCAUAUCUACUAUUAGAUGCUAAUACUUCUACUUAGGAGAGUUGUUCUGUUGUAUACUUUAUGAAUGUGUCACCUAAGGACUUUCUAGAAACCUGGAGAUCAGAAGAAGAUUGAAUAUAAAGGAAAGGAGAAAAUGAUUGGAACACAGGAAAAAAGUAAUCAAUAGCUAAGGCUUUCUGUGGGUUUUGUUUUGGAAGUUUCCUGAAGUUUUCCACCCAUCUGCUAUGACAUUCUAUCACAUUUUAUUUCAGGUAAAAGUAGAAAACUCUCAUUAACUACAGAGGAGAAAAGUUACAGCUAGAAUCUCACAGAAGAUGUUUACAUUUAUCAAUAUAUUUGAGUGAACUGCUUCUUUGUGUUUAAAAUAUGGCAACUGAAAGAUUUUAACCUAUAAAAUAGAAUGUGCUGUGUUAAUUAGGAAGUUAAACAUCAAAAGAAUAUUUUAGCAAUUGAAUGGGACACGAUUGGCAGAUUCUUUCAAUGAGCAACAUGCCUUUUUUCCCUUGGAGACACACUCCAUUUAACUGGAAGCUUUGGUAUGUGGUAUGGAACAUAUUUUUUCUGCAUUACUACUGAUUCUUUUGUAAUCACAGAGUAGAAGGAGCAGAGGAACACACAAAAAAUAGAAUGGACAAUACCACCAGGAAAGCAAAAUACAGAGAUGUGAAUGGGUGUUGCUGCCAUAAAGAUCAUGAAUACAGAAACAAUGAUUUUGAAAACAUUAAUGAUUUGAAACAGAAACAAUGAUUUGA